GGCAGGAACUUUGCCUGCUUUGUUUACCCCUGUGUCCCUGGUUCCAGACACACAGCAGGUGGGAAAGUGGUGAGUGCAGAGGAGCGUGGGAGUUUGGCGAUGUUGUGUACAAAAUAUCUGGCACAGAGAAUGAAGCUUAGGGGGCAGAAUUUGUGAGGAGCCUCAGGGUCUGAGGAUGGAGCCCCCACACUCUUCUGCUACAGUUCUGCCAUCAGAAAACACAGUGAAGCCUAAGUACUGAGCUUGCAUGCAAGGAUGUUCACUGCAGCACUGAGGAUAACAGCCAAUACUUGAAAGCAGCCCUAAUGUCCAAUAGGGAAAGGGAUGGGUACACUGUCACGAAUCCUUGUGAUGGAAUAUUGUGCAGCUGAUAAAAGCCAUGCUUGGGAAGCUCCUUUAAUAACACCAAGAUAAGAGCGAGAACCAGCACGUGGCAUCCCAUGUGCUCCCCACUGUGGCAUCUCUGCAGGAGUUCAGACCACACAGGGUCCUCUGGGUGUAGCCCAGGGGAGCCCCAGAACAGAGAUGACCAGCUUCCACCUUACAUCAUCCCCCAUUUGAAGGCUGGGCCAGGCUGGAUGCUGCCUUUCCUGCUCUAGAUCUACCAGGUCUGUGCUACCUCCACCCUGCCAUGGAUGCCUCUGCUCCCCAGGGGAUGCC
rnacentral:lncRNA from 13 species